rnacentral:misc_RNA from 1 species
AUUUUUCUCACUAAUUUAAAGAGUCAAAGUGUCUUUCUCAUGUCCAAAUAUCAUUAUCCAAACAAGUGUAAUUUUAAGAGGAUGACGAGUCAAAGCAACCAUAGUUGCAAUGAGAAAACCAUUUCCAUGGUUUUUGACUUUUGUCCUUGCAUCAACAGAAUUUAUAACCUCCAGAUAGCCUAUUAAGCAUGGCCCCACCAAGAUGGACUUUAGAAAAGGAUUUUUCUACCCACAUCUUACUCUCACAGAGAGGGGGAGAGAAAGAGGGGGAGAGAGAGAGAG